rnacentral:sRNA from 1 species
AGCUGCGCAGGCGCACAGCGAUGCACUGUCCGCAGACCAGUAGUUCUCUUUCACCAACCUGUGCCUCAUUUCCAGGACUUCCAACCUACUCUGCCACCUCCAACUGUGCCAGCCUUGGAGGACCCCAGCCUCUGGGAAUGCCGUGUCUCUCCUACGUGGCCUUCUGUCCAAGCUGCCGGUCACACUAUGCAUCAGCCACUAUAAACAAGCCACUGCCACAGCACAGCCUUCAUCCUCUCUCUGAGGAUUCUGACCCUUGAGCUCCUGCUUGUCUUUCCAUACCCCAAGCCCCACUAGAAGGAGAGUGUUCCUUCUGCUUCAUAUGACAUGUUUGUGUCUCUCUGGCAGGACUUCUCUGUCCUGUGUCUGUCUUGGGAUGCCUAAGUAGAAUCCAGACUCCGCCCACACUGAACUAUUGUUCUGUGCCUCAUCUUUCAUUCUUAGGAUUGGGCUGAUAUCAUUCCCUUCAAAACCGGGUUGUUCUGAGGAUGGUGUCCAGUGGCUUGCUAUACAUGUCAAGCAUUGACAGUGGAGCCAGCGCAGUUCCAGGAUAUUCGGGGAUACCAAGAAGACCCUGUGUCAAAACAAAGCAAACGGAAAGCAGAACCUCUCUGCAUCCUCCCUCCUGGCCUGGAGUCCUUCUCUUCUCCCUCACAGCACCCUGGAAUCCCCACUAUCUGCCCCUCCAGCUCGCCUGCCUCCUGCUGAGACACCUCACAUCAGGCGGUGUGUGUGCAUCCGUGGGACCCAACACGGAAUUCGGAAUCUCGAAAGACCUUCAAUGAGUAUCUGUGUGGUGCACGAACAAACAAAUAAGCCAAUAAAAAUUGCAAGAGUGCAACAUGAACCCACUACACUGAAGGCAGGCAGGAGAGUACAAUUCUUCAUUUGUUUGGGCCCACACACCGGGUGCUGGGAACCAGAUUCCCAAACAUGCUGCUGGCUCCUCUAAGUACAUUUACUGGGCUGUAACUCCCAUUCCGCAGAUUUCAUGCGAAGAGCUCGAGUCCGUAGGUUGUUGUUGCCGGUGUCUAAGAUUGUGCGGUCCUUCCCCAACCCCACAAGAAACCCCAUGUUCAUCAGCUGUCUCUCCCCA